CCCAAAUGAUAGAUUAAGUGGGAAACGAUGUGGGAAGGCUUAGACAGCUAGGAGGUUGGCUUAGAAGCAGCCACCCUUUAAAGAAAGCGUAAUAGCUCACUAGUCGAGUCGGCCUGCGCGGAAGAUGUAACGGGGCUCAAAUCUAUAACCGAAGCUGCGGAUGCCGGUUUACCGGCAUGGUAGGGGAGCGUUCUGUAGGCUGAUGAAGGUGCAUUGUAAAGUGUGCUGGAGGUAUCAGAAGUGCGAAUGUUGACAUGAGUAGCGAUAAAGCGGGUGAAAAGCCCGCUCGCCGAAAGCCCAAGGUUUCCUACGCAACGUUCAUCGGCGUAGGGUAAGUCGGCCCCUAAGGCGAGGCAGAAAUGCGUAGUCGAUGGGAAACAGGUUAAUAU
rnacentral:rRNA from 1 species